rnacentral:rRNA from 1 species
GGAAUAUUAUACUUUCUUACGCACUGGACUAAGGUCUGACGGAGCACUGCCGCGUGAGAGACGAAUGGUUUCGGAUCGUAAAAAUUAGUUGCGGGGAAGAACACGUGCCAGGUAACUACUGGUACCUUGACCGUCCCUCACCUCAAAGCCACCGCUAAGUACUUGCCAACUUCCGGGGCAAUACCUGGGUUGAUGGCGUUGUCCGGAAUUAUUGGGUGUCGAGUGCGCGCAGGCGGUCCCUUAAGUCUGAUGUGAAAACCCACGGGUCUACCGUGGAGGGUCCUUGGAUACUGGGGGACUUGAUUGCAGAACAAGAAAGUGGAAUUCCAUGGGUACCGGUGAAAUGCAUAGAGAUGUGGACUAACUCCCUUGGCCAACGCCAGUUUCCGGUCUGUACUGACGCUGAGCUUAUUAAAGAGUGAGGAGCAAACAGGAUUAGAUACCCUGGUAGGCCUCGCCGCAUACUAUGAGUGCUAAGUAUUACGCGGUCUCCGCCCCUUAGUGCUGCAUGUACCGCAUUAUGCACCUCGCCUGGGGAGUACGGCCGCUAGGCUGAAACUCAAAUGAAUUGACGG